AAUUGCCAGUUUUGCCACCCUCUGUUUUGAAUUCGGAUUGAUCGGUUGUUAAGGCUUAUUACAGUCAUGGUUUGAUCUGUGUUCUGUAUUCAUGCUUUUCUUUUAUGUAUUGACAUUGAUUCCUUAAAAAGCUGUCUAAAUUGAUGUUGUUUUGGCUACGUCUAUAAUGAAGUUGCUUUGAUCAUUUUGAAAUCAUGACUUUAUCA
rnacentral:misc_RNA from 1 species